UUACGAUAGAACGUCAAUGUGUAUAUAUAUAUAUAUAUAUAUAUAUAUUCUCCAAAUUUAAAGUAACUACUUCUUUCAAAACAAAAAUUCAAAUUUAAAGUAAUUACCUUUUUUAGAAAAAGAAAAAAAAAAUAUUUUGGAGACGGUAAUGUGCCUAAGAUCGAAUUUGCACAAGUCAAGGUCAAUCCAAAAUUUGCACAAGUCAAGGUCAGUACAAACUAACUUCACCAAUACCGAAAUGUGCCUUGGAUCUUACUCCAGACCAUAAAGCUAAUUCUCCGUGUUCGAUACAGCACAGAAACAAAACACACAAGCUCUCUCUCUGUCUCUCUCUUUCUUCUGCUCCUGUGAACUUGGAAUCAAUACACAUAAUAAAGUAUGGCUCUGGAAGUGGUGGGUGGAGCUUUCCUCUCAGCUUCCCUUCAGCUGCUGUUUGAUAGGAUGGCUUCAAAGCAGAUGGUUGACUUUGUUCGUGAAAAGAAUGUGGAUGAUGAUCUGCUGAACAAGUUGAAGUUCAAGUUAUCGUCCCUUGAUAAAGUGUUGGAUGAUGCUGAGAAGAAGCAACUCUCUGACCCAGAUGUGAGGAGAUGGCUGAAUGAGCUCAAACACACAAUCUACAAUACAGAGGACUUGGUGUACGAGAUCAACACCGAAGCUUUACGAUGCGAGAUCGAAGGUAAACCUCCUCAUCUACUCAGCUUCUUCUCUACUAGAUCUUAUGCUAAGAAAAUAAACCAAAGGAUUGCCAAGAUCCUUGACACACUUGAAUGUAUUGUGCAACAAAAGGAUCUGAUUGGUUUGAAAGCAGGUGUUGAAAAUAAAUCUUCACCUAGACCAAUUAUAGCACCACCUUUGGAAGAUGAAUCUGAUAUUUAUGGUAGGGAUGAUGAGAAAGAGGCCAUUGUUAAGUUGCUGCUAUUGGAUAAAAAAGAUGCGGAUACUCGUAAUAAAAUAUCUGUACUUCCCAUUGUAGGCAUGGGUGGGUUGGGCAAGGCCACCCUUGCUAGGCUCGCUUACAAUGAUGUCAGAGUAAACAACUUAUUUGACAUCAAAGUGUGGGUUACAGUAUCUGAUGAAUUUGAUGUUUUAACCUUAACAAAAAAAUAUUCUCAGAGGGGUCAACUCUCCAACAUGCUCUAUCGAUGUCGAGGAGCUAUACAGCCUUCAGAUCGAAUUGAGAAAGGUUUUGAAGGGCAAAAAGCUUCUCUUGGUUCUUGAUGAUGUUUGGAACGAGAAUUAUGACCGCUGGUAUGCAUUGAAGAGUCCACUUGAAUUUGCAGCAUGCGGAAGUAAGAUUAUUGUGACAACACGUAGUCAAGAUAUUGGAUUGAAGAUGGGCAGCAUUCCAAAUUAUUGUCUUCAAAUAAUAUCAGAUGAAGAUGGCUGGAAAUUAUUUAAAAAACACGUAUUCAGUAAUACUAAUAAUAAUAAUGUGAAGCCAAGUGGAUAUCCAGAUUUGGAAGUAAUUGGUAAAGAAAUUGUUGAAAAAUGUAAAUUUCUUCCUUUAGCAAUAAUUUCACUUGGUGGUCUUUUGCGCUCCAAACUUAAUCCCAAAGAGCGGGAAAAAAUACUAGAGAAUGACAUAUGGGGUUUGAUUGGUGAAAAGGAGUGUGAUAUUCUUCCAGCUCUAUGGUUGAGCUAUUAUUAUUUGCCAGUGCAUCUAAAACGUUGCUUUGCUUACUGCUCCAUUUUUCCCAAAGAUUAUAUAUUUGGAAAAGAAGAAUUAAUUUUAUUGUGGAUGGCAGAGGAUCUUCUGCAACCACGUCAAAAUAUGACUUUAGAAGAAGUUGGAGAUGAGUACCUUAGUGAUCUAGUGUCAAAGGUCUUCUUUCAAUGCAAGAGGACUUUAUUUUCUAUGCAUGAUCUUAUGAAUGAUUUGGCUAGCUAUGUUUCAGGCGAAUUCUGUUUGAGAUUGGAUGAAAAUCAUUCAAAAAUUCUUUCAAGAAAUGCUCGCCAUUCAUCACAUAUGAGAUUUGAUGAAAGAUUUAAGAAUUUAGAGGCUUUUUUUGAAAAUAAGUUAUUGCGCACUUUGCUACCGCAACCCUAUAUGGUCCACUGCUAUAUCAUGAAUUGUUUGUAGAUUUUGAAAUAUUGCAAACAAUGCAAUACUUAAGAGUGCUUUCUUUGCGUAGGCUUAUUAAAGUCUCGCAGUUACCCGAUUCUAUUGGAAAGUUAAAACUUUUAAGGUAUUUGGAUUUAUAUCGGAAUGCAAUUGAAGCAAUACCUGAUGCAGUUUGUACUUUGUACAACUUGCAAACCUUAUUGUUGUCAUUUUGUUGCAAACUUACAUGUUUGCCUAAUUCAAUUGGCAAUUUAAAAAAUCUAAGGUACUUGGACUUGCCACCUCAAAUGCCUGCCUUGAGAUAUCUUGAAGAACUAAGUUUUUUUGUUGUAGGCAAAGACAGUGGAUCUGGUAUCCAAGAGUUACAAAAGCUUUCAAAUAUGCAUGGUUGUCUUAGAAUUGAAAGGCUUGAGAAUAUUGUAAACGUUGAGGAUGUUUCAACGGCAAAUUUAAUGAAUAAGAAGCACCUUAGUGAACUGAGUCUGGAGUGGGAAAAUGAUACUGAUGAUUCAAAUAAAGCAAAAGAGAUAUUAAAAAGACUUGAACCUCAAUAAACGGGAAACAAGUAUCAAUUGUAAAUUAUGGAGGCACAAGCAUUCCCAAAUGGCUUGGACUUGAUUCGUUUUGUCGUUUGGUAAGAAUGACGCCAUGGAAUUGUAGACACUGUUGUUCGUUGCCGCAGCUUGGACAACUUCCCGCUCUCAAAGAGCUUUUUGUGGGAGGAGUUGAUAUGUUGGAGAGAAUAGGGCAUGAAUUUUACUGUGGUGGUUCUUCUUCCAUGACUAGGCCAUUCAAGUCGUUACAAGUUUUACAACUUUCAAAUAUGCCAUCGUGGAAAGAGUGGUUGUUGAUGGAAGCUGGUGGCCAAGAAGAUGGACCUUUCUUUGAACUUGGAAACCUUACAUUAAUAAAUUGUCCGAAGCUAAGUACAGCCUACUUGCCUGGUAAUCUUCCAUCCUUGAAGCAUGUUGCUAUCUCAGGAUGCUCUGGUCUGGGGAUCCCAGAUCCGGACUGCUCCAAUGUAACGUUGGUUUUAAAAGGCUGUCCACAAGUAGUGUCAUUUCCAGAAGGGAGAUUGCCCUCAAAUGUCCAUACAAUUCACAUUCGGGAGUGCAGAAUUCUGGUCUCACUGAAGAGGGAUGGCCUUCGAAUUUAAAAUCACUUCAAAUUUCCCAAUGUAAUAUCAACAUGCAGUACUUGAAUCUGGUGGCAAAAUGUAGUGCCAGAUUCUUCAUUUUUGGAGGAAGGGCAACUUCCCACCACCCUGACUUUUCUCACUCUAUUUUGGCUUGAUAACCUUAAAUCCCUACAUAGCAACGCCUUUCGAAGUCUAGCCUCCCUUCAAAAAUUGAAAAUAUUUUUCUGCAGUCAACUCCAGUCUUGCCAGAAGGAGGUCUGCUAGCUUCUCUUGCAGAGUUGUCGAUCCAGUAUUGUCCUUUGGUAGCUCAACGGUGCCAGAGAGAUACAGGGGAAGAUUGGCCCAAGAUCGCUCACAUCCCUCAUAUAUACACAUACGUGAUGUUUGAGGCAAUGUCCUCCAAAAUGGUUCAGAGGCAGGCCUAUCUUGAUGUUUGAGAAUUUCUUCCUCCAUUAAUCUGUUGCAGUGCUUUUCUGAAGAACUUCUUUCCGCAUCUUUUUCUUAUCUGACUGACCAUUUACAGCAUGUCCUCUACUAUGGCAACAAAUUAAGGUCCACCACAAUUUAAAUUUUCAAGUUCAAAAGGUUUUCAAGUCGGGAAUUUUAUGUUUCAAAGCGUAAUAAUAUGAUAUAUAAUGCUCUCAUUUUCAAUACUGUCGGUGGCUCACACUUUCUCAUAAAAGAAACAGCCAGAGUAAGAUUAAUUUUUCUCUUCCCUUUAUCUUCAACAGAAGUAGCUACACUUGCUCCUUUCAUGUAAAGCCUGUUAUGUAUUAUAUGAUGCAAUAUUACUCAAUACCAUUUUUAAAUGCAAGUCCAUUCAAUUUUCCCUCUGGCAAAAACUAAUGUAUAUGUGUUAACUUGUGCAAGGUUUUUUUUUUUUUUUUUUUUUUCCAAGUAACCUAUGUUGGAGGCUAAACUUUUGUUGCUAAAGUUUUGUUAUUCACAGUAGCAGAUUCAAUAAUGCCAAGCUUUCUGGUAACUGCUUCAUGCUGCCGUGAUCUCUUUAAUUGUUUCAAAGUGCAUCUGAGAUUUUGAAAUCCUUAUUCAAGAAACUAUGAAACUUCAUUUGUGAAUUUGAGACAUGAUUAAUCUCAUGAAAGUAAUGCAAUAUUGCCGGAAUGAAAAGGAAAAUAUCUUGGCAUAAGUUGUACCAUGCAGUGCUGCUUAAGAUCAUGGGGCUUUUUUUUUGGCUGUCUACCAAAAAAUUCAUAGCAUCUAAAAAAAUUUUGUCCAAAAACAUGUUCUUUUUGGGCAAAAGAGUUAAUUAAAAUUGUUACUCAUAGGAAUUUAAUAUGAAAAUUCUUCUUUUAUAAUGCCACUUUGUUUUUUAUUGGGGCCCCAUCUUGCUUCUCUUACAUACGUGUGAAUACACUUAAAUCCACACCUGAUGCUGUUAUUGAAAAGUUACUUGCAACUUUUAAGGAAAAGGAGGUUGCAAAUUCCACUGACAAUGUAAAUCCAACCAAAGCUGAUGCAAUUGCAAUUCUCAGAGUUUGCAUGACUGUGGUAAAGCAUCUUCAAAACAAGAUGAUGUGACAAAUAAGCCCAAGUAGAGCCUUCAUACCAGUCCCAUUUCAAAGUGUCAGUUUCCAGGGUUAGACUAUUACUGUUUGUCAGUGGUUCAGGACCACACAAAAUUGAUUAUGGACAUGUAGAUGGUAUAGCUCCUAAGGAGGUAAUUGCGAGUUGAAUAUUUGCUGAGGCAGUUCUUCGCGGUGCUCAGGUAGCUGUUUUCCCUCACCAUUUUUUUCUAACCACUAGUACUUUUGAAUUAUAAUAAAUAAAUAAGAGGGGAAAAAAAAAAAGAAAAAAAGGAAAAUAGUUGUCUGUUAGGUUUCCUGGGUAAAACACUGGACCAAAAGAGUUAUAUUUCCACUACUCGAUUAUAUGUUGUCAAAUACUUUAAUGAUUAUUUUACUGGUAUUAACCAUAUUCUGGUCGGAUACCGAGAGUUUGUCUAUUAAAAAACUUGAAAUCAAAUCAAGUUGUUAAAAUUAUGGUGUCGACAAACAUGAAUACAAACUUGUUGAAAUCUUUUGCAAGUUUUAAAGUUUAUACUUUGACCUGUAUUUUAUGAGAGAUAGUUUCUAGUUUAAUCUGCAGGCCUCCAAUACUGAAAAUACUUAAAAAUUAAUUUAAGAGAUAAUUUGAUUCUCAUAUCUAAUAAUUUCCUAAGAAGAUUUACCUGUAGGUCUUUGUUCCUGGAGUAAUGGCUUGCAUUGCCCAUGUUGAGAAAGGAGAUGUAGCUGCAGUUUCAGUUGCUGUGGAGCAGCCUGCUGCUGAUGGUGGUUGGGGCAUUGCAUAACUCGAGGGACUGUCAUGCAGGGUCUGUCGACAGAUUCUUACUAUUUUCAAUGAAGUGGCCUGUAUAUCGGCCAAGGAAAAGCAACUAUGUCAAGGCCUGGUAUCUUCUGUGUUACACAAGGAGUUGCUGUGGAUGUGUAGUAGAGUAUUUAAACUUCCUUCUUUUCAUGAUGUGCUUGAGGGGGCAAUAUUUCUUCAAAAUAUGCCUAGCAUUGUACUGCUCAUGCACUAGGAAACAAUUGAAUCCUUAAGAAUCCAUGGAAGUAUCAAAGGAGAAUGUUUGAUCAGGCUGUUCAGUUAGUUCGUCCUGGUGGAGGUAUUGUGUAUUCAAUAUGUACAAUAAAUCCUGGAUAGAAUGAAGCAUUGGUUCGAUAUGGUUUGGAUACAUAUAAUUUCCUGUCUUUGGCAUCACAGGUGAAAAGUUUUGGCUGCUCACGGUGCCUCGAAGUUUAGUGCUUGUGUACCUUAUGGCGUUUUUCCUAAGCAGUCAUGGGAGAGGUUCACUCACAAAGAUGAGGUCUCAAAUAAGGCAUUUGCCUACUUUUGGAUCACGGAUUCCUGCCCACUUACAGUAAAAGCCAUAGCAAAUAGAGCUCUGUUCGAAGUUCUAAGUCUUGCAGGAUCAAUUGCAGAAUCUCUACAAACUUGAAAGAAAAUUCAUUUUUGGGACUUUGAGGGAGGAGAACAUGCAUGUAUUAUGAUCUUCUCGGGAAUAAAAACAUUUGACUGGUACUGCUAUUUUUUUGGGCAAGUUAUGUUACAUUAGAAGCUAAUUACACAUUCUAUAUUACUUAUUUAAUACAAGUUCUGUAAUAGAAGUUUACCCUGUGAAAUUUUUUUUUCCGAUUGCUACA